rnacentral:SRP_RNA from 1 species
CUGUAGACUAGGUCGGCAGGUUAGCCCUCUGCUACUUGCAAACGGGCUUUAUGGCAGACUGUAAGGAGGGGCGUGAUAAGAGUGUUAAAAAGUCUUUAUUCGGACGUUGACGCUCUGUCUGCUUCGACCUUAUAGAUGCGAAACGGGUCAGGCCUUGACCGGAGCAGCCCUAAACAUUUAUUAAGGUGCUUAGCAGGUUGCAGAGCCGAGAAAGAAUAAAGGUAGCUUUUUAGCAAUCUUUGAGCAAACCUCUGAGUCUACAC